ACGCUGGCGGCAGGCUUAACACAUGCAAGUCGAACGGUAACAGGAAUUAGCUUGCUAAUUUGCUGACGAGUGGCGGACGGGUGAGUAAUGCUUGGGAAUCUGGCUUAUGGAGGGGGAUAACUACGGGAAACUGUAGCUAAUACCGCGUAAAAUCUUCGGAUUAAAGGGUGGGACUUUCGAGCCACCUGCCAUAAGAUGAGCCCAAGUGGGAUUAGGUAGUUGGUUAGGUAAAGGCUGACCAAGCCGACGAUCUCUAGCUGGUCUGAGAGGAUGACCAGCCACACUGGAACUGAGACACGGUCCAGACUCCUACGGGAGGCAGCAGUGGGGAAUAUUGCACAAUGGGGGGAACCCUGAUGCAGCCAUGCCGCGUGAAUGAAGAAGGCCUUCGGGUUGUAAAGUUCUUUCGGUGAUGAGGAAGGUUGAUAGGUUAAUAGCCUAUCAAAUUGACGUUAAUCACAGAAGAAGCACCGGCUAACUCCGUGCCAGCAGCCGCGGUAAUACGGGGGGUGCGAGCGUUAAUCGGAAUAACUGGGCGUAAAGGGCACGCAGGCGGUGACUUAAGUGAGAUGUGAAAGCCCCGAGCUUAACUUGGGAAUUGCAUUUCAUACUGGGUCGCUAGUGUACUUUAGGGAGGGGUAGAAUUCCACGUGUAGCGGUGAAAUGCGUAGAGAUGUGGAGGAAUACCGAAGGCGAAGGCAGCCCCUUGGGAAUGUACUGACGCUCAUGUGCGAAAGCGUGGGGAGCAAACAGGAUUAGAUACCCUGGUAGUCCACGCUGUAAACGAUGUCGAUUUGGGGAUUGGGCUUUGAGCUUGGUGCCCGUAGCUAACGUGAUAAAUCGACCGCCUGGGGAGUACGGCCGCAAGGUUAAAACUCAAAUGAAUUGACGGGGGCCCGCACAAGCGGUG
rnacentral:rRNA from 1 species